rnacentral:rRNA from 1 species
GACGAACGCUGGCGGCAUGCCUAAUACAUGCAAGUCGAGCGAACAGAUGAAGUGCUUGCACUUCUGACGUUAGCGGCGAACGGGUGAGUAACACGUAAGGAAUCUACCUAUAAGCGGGGGAUAACAUUCGGAAACGGGUGCUAAUACCGCAUAAUAUCUUCUUCCGCAUGGAAGAAGAUUGAAAGACGGCUCUGCUGUCACUUAUAGAUGACCUUGCGGUGCAUUAGUUAGUUGGUGGGGUAAUGGCCUACCAAGACAAUGAUGCAUAGCCGACCUGAGAGGGUGAUCGGCCACAUUGGGACUGAGACACGGCCCAAACUCCUACGGGAGGCAGCAGUAGGGAAUCUUCCGCAAUGAGCGAAAGCCUGACGGAGCAAUGCCGCGUGAGUGAAGAAGGCCUUCGGGUCGUAAAACUCUGUUAUAGGAGAAGAACAAAUUGUAGAGUAACUGCUACAGUCUUGACGGUAUCUUAUCAGAAAGCCACGGCUAACUACGUGCCAGCCGCCGCAGUAA